AUCCUAUAGUGAGGGCAUUUUCAUAAUAAUUCUUUAAAUCUCUCUUAUGCCUUAUACAAAGAUUCAUCAUCCAUUUGCUGAAGUGUAGUGAUCUCGUUCCGCAACUU
rfam:Gossypium raimondii Chr05_contig_417, whole genome shotgun sequence.